rnacentral:lncRNA from 1 species
CCAAAACCAUUAUCCUUUUUGGCUCUCCAUUAUUAUUCAUUCUUUUAGCUCUUGGGAAACUAUGUUCAAGCUUAGGAGCUUUGGCAUAGCUCUUAUCAUGAUUCUAAUGGCAAUCCCAAACUUUGCUAUUUUUGCCAAUAGCAGAAUGCUCCGAUCAGAGGCCGAGCGUGGCAGUGUUAAGGAACAUGAUGUAGAUCAAGAAAAGCCAAAGAGACUAACACCACAGCCGAAAGAUUCGAGCAGUAGUGGCGACCGAGUUUUUACAUUGGCUUCGGGACCAAGCAGGAAGGGCGGCGGCCAUUAGUCAGAAAUUUUCUAUACCAUGUUGAUUUUGAUGGAGAAUUUGUUGCUUGAAUUUAUUUUUUUCUUAUUGGGAUUGUGUACAUGACUUAGAAAAAUUGUUUUCCUCUUUGUUUUCAUUCUAUUUUGUUAUUUUCAUAGGUUUCUCUUUGUUUGUUAAUCAUGAGAGACGUGCUUAACGGUUGGCCUUAAGUGAUAAUCUUAAUGAUCGGAUUAUUAGGUUUUGCUCAAUAAUCAAAAGUUUUGAAUUCUAUGAGUAUAAUAAAAUAUAUAAACAUUGAACCAAGAAUAAAAUAUUCAAACCCUUUCAAAACAUAUA